rnacentral:rRNA from 1 species
GAUGAACGCUAGCGGCAGGCCUAAUACAUGCAAGUCGAACGGUGUCUUCGGACAUAGUGGCGCACGGGUGCGUAACACGUAUGCAACCUACCUUACAUUGGGGGAUAGCCUUUCGAAAGGGAGAUUAAUACCGCAUAAGACAGUAGCUGGGCAUCCAGCAGCUGUUAAAGAUUUAUCGUUUUAAGCUGGGCAUGCGUCCAAUUAGCUAGUUGGUGAGGUAACGGCUCACCAAGGCAAUGAUUGGUAGGGGAACUGAGAGGUCAAUCCCCCACACCGGCACUGAGAUACGGGCCAGACUCCUACGGGAGGCAGCAGUAGGGAAUAUUGGGCAAUGGACGCAAGUCUGACCCAGCCAUGCCGCGUGCAGGAUGAAGGCGUUAUGCGUUGUAAACUGCUUUUAUACAGGAAGAAACGACUCUUGCGAGAGGCAUUGACGGUACUGUAUGAAUAAGCACCGGCUAACUCCGUGCCAGCCGCCGCGGUAACAC